GACGAACGCUGGCGGCGUGCUUAACACAUGCAAGUCGAACGGAAAGGCCCCUUCGGGGGUCCUCGAGUGGCGAACGGGUGAGUAACACGUGAGUAACCUGCCCUUGACUUCGGGAUAACUUCAGGAAACUGGGGCUAAUACCGGAUAGGAAUCCUUGCUGCAUGGUGGGGGUUGGAAAGCUUCGGCGGUUUUGGAUGGACUCGCGGCUUAUCAGCUUGUUGGUGGGGUAGUGGCUUACCAAGGCUUUGACGGGUAGCCGGCCUGAGAGGGCGACCGGCCACAUUGGGACUGAGAUACGGCCCAGACUCCUACGGGAGGCAGCAGUGGGGAAUAUUGCACAAUGGGCGGAAGCCUGAUGCAGCAACGCCGCGUGCGGGAUGACGGCCUUCGGGUUGGAAACCGCUUUCAGCAGGGGCGAAGCUUGUGGUGACGGUACCUGCAGAAGAAGCACCGGCUAACUACGUG
rnacentral:rRNA from 1 species